UAGAGCAAUGAAGCAAGAAUAAUAUAUUCUUGAAAGAACUAGGCAUUUAAAAAAUUAUGUCCAAAGGUAACACUUGACAAAAAUUCCAGACUGUUUCCUGAUAACUUUGUUAGUCUCUAUUUUAUGGACUUGUAAACUACAAUAACUUGGUGACCAUUUUCUGAUGUUCUUUUUAGCUAGAGGACGUAGUGUUGCCUGUUAAAGUUUAAUGAGAAUUAUGAUUAUGGCUACCAUCUGCUAAGGUAGUAACUGUGCUGUGGGGUUUCACUGCCACACCAUCAUGUCAUAUUCAGAACAACUCUGCAAGGAUAGCAUUAUUAUCUUCUUUUUACAAAGGAGAAGGGUUAUAAUGCGCCCAGUACACUACUGAUUUAUAGGCAUAUUUAUAUACCCAAUGUUUGUGACAGCCUCACCACCACAAUAUGUAAAUAUGGAGGCACAUAAUAUUUUAUGUGUGGAAUUAAAAAAACUAAUUUUGCUUUUGGAAUAAAUUAAUAUUGAGCUUUUGCUCAGCAAAGGAAAUUAUUAAAAAAAAACAAAAACACAACCUAUGGAAUGGGAAAAAAUCUUUGCAAACAAAGCAACCAACAAGAGCCUAAUCUUCAAAAUAUACAAACAGCUCAUACAACUCAACAACAAAAAAGCUAAUUGAAAAUUUGGCAGAAGAUAUUUCUCCAAAGAAGAUAUACAGCUGGCCAGUAGGCACAUGAAAGAAUAAUCAACAUCACUAAUUAUUAGAGAAAUGCAAAUCAAAACUACAAACAGGUAUCACCUCACAUCAGUUAGCAUGGCUAUCAUUAACAAGUCGACAAAUAACAAAUACUGGAGAAUCCUCCUUCACUGUUGGUGGGAAUGUAAAUUGGCACAAACAAUAUGAAAAACAGUAUGGCAAUACCUCAGAAAACUAAAUAUAGAACUAUUAUAUGGUCUAGCAGUCCCACUUCUGGGCAAAUACGCUGACAAAGCUUUCAUUCAAAAAGAUGUUUGCACCCAUAUGUUCAUUGCUGCACUAUUCGCAAUAGCCAAGACAUGGGAGCAACCUAGGUGUCCAUUGAUGGAUGAAUGGAUUAAGAAGAUGUGGUACAUAUACGUAAUGGAAUUCUACUCAGACAUAAAAAAGAACAAAAUAAUGCCAUUUGCAGCAACAUGGAUUCAACUAGAGAUUCUCAUACUAAGUGAAGUAAGUCAGAAAGAGAAAGACAAAUACUGUAUGAUAUCACUUAUAUCUGGAAUCUAAAAUGUGACAGAGAAGUUCCCAUUGUGGCUCAGUGGUAAUGAAUGCAACUAGUAUCCAUGAGGAUGCAGGUUCAGUCCCUGGCCUUUCUCAGUGGGUUAAGGAUCCAGCUUUGGUCUCUAAUUAUCUUGUAUCCACCAGGCCACCUACCAAAUGCUUUCACGUUAACUCUAUUUUCAGCUCAAAUAGUUGGAAAGAAUUUUAUUUUAUUUUAUUUUAUUUUAUUUUAUUUUAUUUUAUUUUAUUUUACUUUAUUUUAUUGUCUUUUUAAGGGCACACCUGAGGCAUGUGGAAGUUCCCAGCUUAGGGGUCAAAUUGGAGCUGCAGCUGCUGGCCUACACCACAGCCAAAGCAACAUGGGAUCUGAGCUAUGUCUGUGACCUACAUCACAGUUCAUGGCAACACCAGAUCCUUAACCCACUGAGCGAGGCCAGGGAUGAAACCUGUAUCCUCAUGGAUACUAAUCAGAUUUGUAACCUGUUAAGCCACACUAAGAACUCCAAAUAACAUCUUUAUUUAACAUAAUUUCUAACAUCUUACUUUUUUAAUAUUAAUGGUCAGUGUGAACACCAUGAUAUGAGCAGGUGUGGAGGCAUAAUUGAUUGAUUCCACAAGGUGAAGACUAAGAGUCUUGAUCUCUAAUUAUCUUAUGUCCACCAGGCCACCUACCAAAUGCUUUCACAUUAACUCUAUUUUCAGCUCAAAUAGUUGAAAAGAAUUUUGUUGAUUCAUCUCACAUUUUGCAUAUCUGUAUGAUGGACAUAAAACACUAGUGUUUUACUGUCCCUUAGAUGUGCCAUUCAACUAAUCUGUUUACCCAAACAACGAAAAUGUAAUAACAGAUAUGCCUAGGAAGCAGAGGUAGUUUUGAAGUAGCACUAGUUUUUAACACCUGCUCUUUAAGAAGAUGAUUAUAUUUGGAAGUCAUUUGAAAUUUAAGGGAAUUCAAUUACCAGAAAAGAAAAACAUGUUUUAAAUUGUAUUAGUUAAGUAUUUCAAACUGGAGAACUCAGGUAUUCCAUGUGUUCACUCAAUAACUAUUUCUGGACCUUCUAUAGUAGUCCCUGGGCUGUAAAUAAUAAAGUUGCUGUCCUCACAGAGUUUAUAUUUCUAGGGAGCCACUGGGAGUGAGAGGCAGGAGGUAAAGAAGUAGAAUAUGCGUGUGUUUAUGCAUAUAUUUAAGUGUGUUUAUAUAUAUGUAAGUUUAUAGAGAGAGUGAUAUAUCACUAAAUAUAUGUAUAUACAAAUAGUAAUAAACUUAAUUUUAAAUAAAAGCCACUCAUAGUAAAAAAUCCUUGCAUUGAAUCUCUAAAGUAAAGUUUUAGGUUACAGAGUUUAAAAUUCUUACUCACCAAAACUUCAUAUUUUAAUCAUUUCCAGACAGGAAAAUUUUGAUAAAAUAUCUCAGUCAUUAUUUUAGAUGGUUCAUGCAUUUGCUAGCUUAUAUUCCUUCUUCACUGGGGGCGAGGGGUCCCAUAGACCUGACUGUUUAAUUCACAACUUUUUUUUAAUUACAGUAUAGUUGAUUUACAGUGUUGUGCCAGUUUCUGCUGUACAACAUAGUGACCCAGUCGUACAUAUAUAUACAUAUUUUUUUCUCAUAAUAUCUUCCAUCAUGUUCUAUCCCAAGAGAUUGGAUAUAGUUCCCCAUGCUAUACAUUAGGACCCCUUUGCUUACCCAUUCCAAAUGUAAUAGUUUACGUCUACCAACUCCAAACCCCCCGUACAUCCCACUCCCUCUCCCCUCCCCCUUGGCAACCACAAGUCUAUUCUGCUUCUUUAUUCAUUUGAAGAACGUUUGUAGGUAUUCUAGAAUCUAAAGGAAAAAUCCCCAAGACUAUUUUGUACAUUAUCAGAUUGCACUGAGUGCAGUAGAGCUGGUGGGAAACAGAAAACUUGAACCCUGUGCAACUCAAAGGGGAAAAAAUUAUAACAAAGCAAGAGAAGCGAUUUCUGAUUUUGUUUUGUUUUGCUUUUUUAGGGCUGCACCUGCGACAUAUAGAAAUUCUCAGGCUAGGGGUCAAAUCGGAGCUGCAGCUCCCAGCCUACAGUACAGCAGCAUGGGAUCCAAGCUGUGUCUGUGACCUACACCAGAGCUCACAGCAUCGCUGGAUCAUUAACUCACUGAGUGAGUGAGGCCAGGGAUCAAACCUGCAUCCUCACAGAUGCUUUACUGGGGUUUGCAACCUGCUGAGCCACAAUGGGAACUCCGAUUUCUGAUUUUUUUGUUUGUUUGUUUUUAAAUUGAAGUUCAAGCCCUCUUUCUGUUAAAGCACAGAAUAACGUGGGCAUGUUAUGCUGGUAUCAUGUAAUCUCAUGAAAAUUGGUUAUGAAGCCAGGGUCAUUGAUUUAUAUAUGUUACUUAGUAAGAAGUGUCAUAUCAGAUAUGUAAUUAGAGCUUGUGACAAAAGGAACAAUUCAAAUGUUGGGGGAAAAAAAGUGUCAGCCAGGCAUGUACUGUGGUGAGUUUCCAACUGAACAGUGAAUCAAUUGUUUUUAGUCAUUUUUGGAUGCAGUAUAAUGACCUCUUUAUUAAGCUCAGCAAUUGAGUAGGUAUUAACUCCAUUUACUUUGAUUGCAAUGAUAGAUAAAGUAGCCAAUUCCUUUUAGGGAAGAUGAAAAACAUCAUAACAUCACAUUCAUUUAAAAAAUAUUUAUUUCUUUUCAUGAUGCACAGGUUCACAUUUGAAAGCUUAUCUCCUUUUUAGGUUCUCUGAAUAUAUGGUUUGGGUGACUCUCUCAAAUUAAGAUCAUUCAGCUUUCAUGCCAUUGGUGUAAAAAAUCAGUGCUUGAUAAACAAAUGUGCCACACAGGAUUUUGCAGUUGUUCUUAAUUAAAAAAAAAAAACUAGAUUAAAAAAUAAUGUAGUCAGGCGAUAAUGUCUAAUGGCUUUUGUUUGUGUGUGUGUGUGUGUGUGAUUCCUUUUUUUUUUUUUUUUUUUUGGCCACACCCCCUGCAUGGGGACAUUCCUGGACCAGGGAUCAAAGCCUCACCAUAGUAGUAACACAGCCACAGCACUGACAACACCAGAUCUUUAAUCUGCUGAGCCACCAGGGAACUUCUCUAUUGGCUUUUUGACAAUGAAGGGAAAGAGUGUUUAGGUGGAGAAGCACCAAUAGUGCCUCAGUGCUAAUUUUGCCUUUUUCCACUCCUCCAUAUAGAAAGUAAGAAUAAAGAAAUGUCUGCCAAAGUAAAAGUUGUUGACAAAGUAAUUAUCCUUGGGUCUCAACCUUAGGUACUAAGAAUCUGCAAAAUGUAGCACUCGAAUAAUGGGGUAAUUAAAACUGAAUCCCUUUGAAUGUCAGAGCCGUACAAUCAUAUCAAAUAAUGCAAAAUUACUCUGAAUAUUAAGCCUAUUAAAAUACAUUAGAUAGAUUAUGGUAAUGUCAGAGGCUUCCUUACUUAAGCUGUGGAUACAUCUGCAGCUUCCUCGCAGGAGAGGCAUGUAAGUUGCAAGAGUUGGUAAGUUUACAGCAAAGAAAAACCAUUGUAUAUAAAUAACUGGGUCAUGGACUUUCAUCUCAUUUUUUUCCUUCAUGCGUUGAGCUAGGAGACUCAAGGGCUGUACAAAGUAAGGGAAAGACAAUUAAAAGAGGGAAUCCUCUUCCUUUGUUCAGACUCACUUCAGCCUGCUAAUGAAGAAAGCAAGAAUGGCAACUUGAUCACAUUGUUCCUGACACCCACAAUUCUUUGUUUAGCUGACUGCUGAACAAAACUUGUCCUUCCAUCUAAGUUUUCUGUCAGUGUCAUUCAGCCUUCAAGGGUGCCAGUGAAUCAAUCAUAAAAUCAAUUUUAGUAUGUUACCAUCAGCAUUUUUAAAUGCAAUACAAUAAAAACUACUAUUAAUAAAAACUAGAAUAUAUUCUGUAAUUAUUUUUAAUAAAGCCUUUAUUUCAGUUAUCCUUGUCUAUACAUGCUUAGCUCACAUGGUAAAAUGUGCAUUUUUUUACUAGGGUCACAGUCAAAACAGAAAACUGCUAUUACUAAUCUCAUCCCCUCACAUUCUUCUGAGCCUUUGUUUUCUUGAAUAAUUUGCCCUUUGUAACUCAGACAUUUUCAAAAUCUUCAUUUACUCUUUUCUGUCAGUUUAGACAGCUCUUUAGUUUCCCAGAAUUUCUAUUUUCAUAGCCAGCUCUUAGUAUAGUGAUCAUUGGAAGAAGUGACCACUAGAGGUUUGUUAUUUGAAGGAGUGAAUUAAUGAUGUUCUAAAGCGAAUUACAAUUUUGUAAGUCCAAAUGUCAACUUUUAGUAAAUUCCACCUUUCUUUUCCUGUAAGCCCUAGCAAUGAUUAUUGGCUAUGGCCACCAUUCAGUUGCCCUUUAGAAUUUCUGAGGAGUUCCCGUGGUGGCACAGCGGUUAACGAAUCUGACUGGGAACCAUGAGGUUGCGGGUUCCAUCCCUGCCCUUGCUCAGUGGGUUAACGAUCCGGCGUUGCCGUGAGCUGCGGUGUAGGUCGCAGACGCGGCUCGGAUCCUGCGCUGCCGUGGCUCUGGCGUAGGCCAGGGGCUAUAGCUGCAAUUCGACCCCUAGCCUGGGAACCUCCAUAUGCCGCAGGAGCGGCCCAAGAAAUGGCAAAAAGACAAAAAAAAAAAAAAAAAAA
rnacentral:lncRNA from 1 species